GACGAACGCUGGCGGUGUGCUUAACACAUGCAAGUCGAACGGUAAGGCCCUUUCGGGGGUACACGAGUGGCGAACGGGUGAGUAACGCGUGAGUAACCUGCCCUCAUCUCUGGGAUAACAGUCGGAAACGGUUGCUAAUACUGGAUAUGAGCUUGCAAGGCAUCUUGUGGGUUGGAAAGAUUUUUUUUGGUUGGGGAUGGACUCGCGGCCUAUCAGCUUGUUGGUGAGGUAGUGGCUCACCAAGGCUUCGACGGGUAGCCGGCCUGAGAGGGCGACCGGCCACAUUGGGACUGAGAUACGGCCCAAACUCCUACGGGAGGCAGCAGUGGGGAAUAUUGCACAAUGGACGGAAGUCUGAUGCAGCAACGCCGCGUGCGGGAUGACGGCCUUCGGGUUGUAAACCGCUUUCAAUUGUGACGAAGCUUUUUUGUGACGGUAGCAGUAGAAGAAGCACCGGCUAACUACGUG
rnacentral:rRNA from 1 species